AAAUCCUUGCUCUGUGAAGCAUUUGUCCUAGUUGGAAAGACAGACUGAUCCAAAUAUCAAUUCAUGUAAAAAUAUACAGUAUUAUUAUGUAAAUACUGGAGGAAAAUGAUCAAACAGAAAAAAAGAGUAAGUUUUUAGGCAUGGCACUCAUGGAAGGGCUAAAUGGGCAGGACCUUCUAAAUGAGUGCCUAGAUCAGACAUAGCUAUGCUAUCUGGGGAAGAGCCUUGAAGACAAAGGGAUGAGCACUUGCAAAAGCCCUGAGGUAGGAUCAUGUCUGUCCAUUCAAGAAGCAGCAAAGAAUCUAGUGGAAUGGAACAGAAAGAAUGAAGGAGACAAAAGUAACACCAGCUGGUUAGUACGGGCCUUUUGGGCUGCAAACACACAUGGGGGACUCUGAGUUGAGGACUGACAUGAUCUCAUGUGUGCUUUGACAGGAUCACUCUGGCUGGGGGUGUGCAUUGACAGAAGAAAAUCCUUUGUGAGCUGGGGGUUUCUGGGUCCCCAUAUGUUGAAUCAGGAGCCUCCAUUAAGAUGAUGUGUAUACUUGAGGCUUCCCAGAGGUAAUUAUUAAGUCAUGAAUGUGAAUCCCUAUGAGUAAGAAGAAUAAGAAAAAAGAAAGAGGAUGUCUCUUUCUCUCUCUACCAUGGGAUUAAACAAAAAGAAGUUCAUCUUCUAACUGAAAGUGAGUCCCUGCUAGGAAAUGAAUCCACAGCACCUUAAUCUUGGACUUAAUUAGCCUCCAGAACUGAUAGAUUUACAUUGGCUAAACCACUGAUCUAUUAUACUUUAAUAGCACCUUAAACUGCUCAAAGAAUAAACUGGUACCAGGACGGGGGUCCUGAGGUAGUAUAUUUUACCACAGUAAGUCCAGAUGAAAGAUGAUAUUGUCUUGGGGGUAACAAAUGAGAAAUGGUUAAUAUUUAGUUUUAUUUGAAAAUAGCUGUGGUUGCAUUUGCUAAAUGGAGAAGAAUAUGAAAGAAAAGGAGAACCCUGGAUGACACCAAGAUAUUUCAUCUGGCAGCUAGAAGAAUGAAAUAAAAAUGUAAAAUGUCUGCUGGGCUUCUACAUGAAGAUGCCCAGAUUUGUGUGCCUUAUGUGCCUCACAAGAGAAGAGAUUCAAGCUGGAUAUGGAGUCACGGAAUCACCAGUAAUUAGAUCAUACUUAAGACACAGGAGGUUAAAUGGCACAGAAAUGAGAAGAGAGCUAAAGACGGAGGUAUGAGACAGCUCAAUAUUUAGAAGCCAAAAAAAGAAAAAAAGAAAAACAUAAAAAGAGAAAAGGAGAUAAACUAGCUGUGUGUAAUGUUCUGGAAAGCAAGAGAAGAGAGUGGUUCACAGAUCUCUGAUGAUGGAGAGACCAACCAGCCCUGUUUCAUCACUGGUGAUCUCACAAAGCAACUGAAGAUGGGUUCACAAAAACAUCUAAGAGCCCCAGUAAUCCAAGCUUUCAGGAAGAAGAGGAUGAAAGCUCAAUAGCAGCCUAGGCUACACAGGGAGAGUGUGGUGGUUUGAAUAUGCUUGGCCUAGAGAGUAGCGCUAUUAGGAGGUGUGGCCUUGUUGGAGGAAGUGUGUCACUGUGGGGAUGGGCUUUGAGAAACCCUCCUCCUAGCAGUCUGGAAGUCAGUCUCCUCCUUUCUGACUUUGGAUGAAGAUGUAGAGCUCUCAGCUCCUCCAGCCCUACAUCUGCCUGACACUGACAUGCUCCCACCUUGAUGAUAAUGGACUAAACCUCUGAAACUGUAUGUGAGAGAGGUCACAGAGAGGACAAUUUCAUGGAUUAUCCUGGUGGCCUCAGAGGACUCUUCAGUAAAACCACUAAUGACAGCCAGAGACUACUGGACCACCAACAACCACUGUUGUUUGAUAUAGUCACGACCGCAAAAGUCAUCACAUGGCCCGGAACUGGACAACAAAUGUUGCCAUGACCUGUGUGGCAGUCCACAAGAUGCCAAACAAAAGCUCCGGGACACUUAGUGACAGCCAGUGUUGUCAGUCACCAUACAACCAAGAUGGCUAAGCACUCCUGGGGAAAGAGCAGAAGUUGAAAGGGGGCUCUUAGGCAGGAUCACACCCGGCCAGCCUCAGAAGGGUCCCGUGUCACCACCACAGCUGCACUUCCCCCAUGAGGCCUCGAGGGGCGGAAGUGCCCUCAGAAGAGGUUUCAACCUUAGCAUACACAACCACCACUCAAUAAAAAUUAUAUUAGGAAAAUGA